GGCCUCUGAUUGGCCGAAGCUGGCAGAGCAGGGCCUCUCGCGCUCCUGGGUCCAUGCAACCUGCUCCCUGUGGCUGCCGAGUUCUCGGGAACAGCGGCUCGGCCUGCAAGGCUGUUGUUUCAAGAAAUGAAAAUGAAGGGCGCCCUGGAAUAGGUUCGCCGAAGAGAGAGCUUGCAGGCCUCUGGGAAGCAAGCCAUCGUGUGGCAGAGGCCCAGGUGGCAAGGAACCAAGGGCGGCUUCUGGCCAACAGCCAGCGAGGACCUGAGACCGUAGCCCAACACCCCUCCAGGAACUGAAUUUUGCCAGCAACCAGUGAGUGACCUUGGAAGUGGAUCCUUCCCCCGAAAGCCCGGCUUUCAGGUGAAGGUUAUUCGUUGAACCAAUAAUCUCUGAAAUUUUUGGAGUUC
rnacentral:lncRNA from 1 species